UCCACAGGUGGAGUAAGUCUCCCAACUAACUAUCCUGGAAUCCUGGAAUCCUGGAAGUCCAUAUGUCCCAGUCACCAUGGCAUGGCUCUCCUUGGCUGUCAGUAACAGAACAGUGGUCAGUUCUGUUAGGAUUGUGCCUGGGAAAACAGGAGUGAAUCAGUGACCUGAGUCCAAGUGUAAAAUUAAGAGGCAAAAUCCAGAGAGUUCUGACCUUUGUGCUCUGGGGCCAGGGUUCUCUCAGUUUCUCUCAUGUAUGUAUCUCAGCCCUCAGCUUCUGCAUGCCUCAUGGUGGGCAGUCAGAGAGCCGUCUAUGAACAUCAGUUUCUAUCACACCUGAAGGUGCAUCCAGGUGCAUCCAGGCUGUGAAACAGGGAAUCCUUAAAACUGCCUGCCAUCUAUGCCUGGAAUCCUGAAAUCUGGGCUUCCACUUUGCUUCAGGUCCUACUUCCAUAGAUAAAAGGGUCUCAUAAUCAAUUUUUCUUUCCACUAUCACUGAUAACUCAAAACCAAUCCCUUUGGUGUAUUUUCUGAUGCUUUCCUGUUAAAUCUUCCCUCAUGUAAUAUCUAAGGGAAAUUUCAAAUUUUGGCCUCUUUUGAGUUAGCCAUAUGUUGACUAAAUCAACAAUUCAAAUCAGAGGUUUCACUGGCUAAAAAGAUUUGUCGAACCUCUCACCUCGUAGGCAAGAAACGCUAUAUUGAAAACCAUCAGGGCUUAGCUUAACUGUUCUAUGUGCAGUGGAGCCCACUAGGUGGCAUCUCAACACACAGAAAGCUGGGUGUAUGAGGUAGAGACAAAUCCAAUACAGGGUUUUAAAAAUAGGUUUUGAAUUGCAUUGAACUAGAUGGUUGUAAUAGUAUCAAAACACUCAGCAUUGGUGAACUGGACAGUUCUGUGGUGAAGGAACUGUUUCUCUAUUAGAUAAGAGCUGUUCUAAUAGAAUCCCACCACGCCGGCUGAGAAUCCUGGCCUGAAAUUGCCUAUGAGGGUGGAGGCUGCCACUGCGACACCCCGGCAGAUAGCUCCAAGAGAGAAGCUGCUGAGUGGACCGGACACACAAGCAGAGUUGGAGACCAAAGGCUACCAGCCCCAGGGGCUGUGGAAGACAGAGUGAGAGAAGCAGCUGUAUCCUAAACCCUAGAAGCUCUUCUCCACACUCUGGGAUUCUGUUUCCAAAUCCUUUCAAGAUGGCAGUGAGCCUUGGUUGGUUCAAGUUUGAAAAGAGGACAUCUUUCUUGUUUUUCCUUUUUAAGAGGGGCACAGUCACAGAAUGGCUUUGUCACUGAAUGGGGCCCCAGGGCAGUUUUGCUGAAUGCCAAGAUGUACUAUUUCAAUCAUUUAAAAAGGUGAAGAAAUCAAAGCAAACAGAGGCUAGAGGUGAAGCGGCAUGCCAAGAAGACCUAGCUGAUGAGUGGGGUCAGGACUGGAAUGGAGGCAUCCUGGCGUCUCCUAGCUAGCCUUCCUCCUUGAGAUGACCUGCAGCUGCUCAGAAACUUCUCCAUUAGUGGCUCAUGAGCUGAAUAGUUUUCUUCUGCUCUAUAUUCCCCCUCAGUAUUAUUUUACUGUAAGAUUUUCAAAGUACCUGCAUCUGAGGCAUCAUUAAAAAUAACAUUGAAUGUUAAAAGGAAAAGUUAUUAUAAUAAAAGGCCCAUGGACAUUAAUCCUUCUCAAACUCCUCCCCCUCACUUAGAACACACCCUUCGACCACUCUCCAAAGCUGUUCUGGAAAGCUCUUUCCUGAGUGUCUCUAGUUGACUGUCGGGGCUAACUCAGCAUCCUGAGCUGACUGAAAGGGUUGACCGCUCUUAGCCGUUUUAACUUUGGGGAGGAGGCAGAAGUCACAGGGCUCCGGAUGCCAUGAAUAAGACAGAUGAUGAUCCACCGCAGCAUGUUUACACCUCUGCCUUUCUGCUGGAUGGUGCCAGGCAGCAGCCUUCACUGUACUGUUUAAUUACACCUACAGACACUCACGAAAGAGGAUUUACAGAACUGCCCCGGAAAGUGGUGGGAAGGAUGGGACGCAGGUACUAGUGAAGAGGAGUACUUCAAGGGGGGUUAUGGCAAGGUGUCUUUGACGGAAAUAAAUUUUUAAAAUUUACCAUUCUUUGUAUCUUUUUCAUCACACUUCAUAUUCUGUCAUCACAGAUUCCAUGUUCUCUUUAACGUGGAAAUGUGCAGAUGAUCUGCUGGAAGAAUUCCGAAUUAUCAUAAGUUUCAGAGUUUUCACAGCAGAGAGCCUUUGAGUGUGAAGUCACCGUUAGGUGGGGAAGGAAGACAAUCUGCCUUUCUUCUCACCAGUUGAAAGCAUCAGCAGUUCCUUGUGCUGCUUUGCUUUUCAAAAUCUCUUAACUGCUACACCUGGCUUCCUCCUGGGUAAAGUGUCACCUUCGGAUCCUUUCACCUGCUGUAGGGGUUUAGGUCAACCCCAAGUCCAGUUACCUUCAGUAAAGAACUUUGGAUGGGAAACUCCUGCUACGUUUAGCAUCAUUGUCCUAAGAAUUAUUUACAGGAAUGGAAUUUCUCAGCAAAAGACAGAUUUUAUUUUAAUCUCAA